rnacentral:pre_miRNA from 1 species
AUUCUACUCCCUCCGUUGCACAAUACAUGCCUUCUAUUUGUCAAAAUAUAUAUGUAUCUAGACAUGUUUUAGUAUAUAGGUACAUCCAUUUUUGGACAAAUGGAAGUCAAGUAUUUUGGAAAGGAGGGACUACACA